ensembl:lncRNA
AUUAACUGUCCGACUACCAGUGAAGCAUCAUUUCAAUUGUGUGUGGAAAUAAAUUAACCAAAAUACAUCCGCAAACUGAAAUAGAUAACCUUACCUUGUCAAAUGGUUCUAGACCUGUAAAGUUGUCAGAAAUGAUCACAAACUUGGACAUCCUGACUCAUGUUUCAACAGUAUCUGGAUGAUACUGUCAUGAUAUCUGCAUACAUGCCAGAGUUCUGAGACUACAGAAAAUUAGACAUUGGUGCAUUGCAUUGUGUCUUCCAGCCGCUACUUUCAGAUGCGGCAAAACCUUUACGGCAAACAGGUGUGGGGCAGCCUCAAGUGGAAAGCCGCAACAAUUCCACACACAGUCCAGCAGGACUCAACAAGCUGCGGGGUAUUUGUAAUGCAGAUGGCUAAAGAGGCAAUCCAGUCUUUUCCGGCGAUUCCUUCAUUCAAUAUGAAGAACUCGCCAAGGGCUAUAGGUUGUCUCCGGGCAGAGAUGGCAGAGGAGCUACUGUCCGCAUCAGAGAAAGACUACUGUUCAAUAUGUGGCCUGCAUGAUGUUCCAAGAGACACAGACAUUGAG